GACGAACGCUGGCGGCGUGCUUAACACAUGCAAGUCGAACGGAAAGGCCCUGCGUUUGUGGGGUGCUCGAGUGGCGAACGGGUGAGUAACACGUGAGUAACCUGCCCUUGACUUUGGGAUAACUUCAGGAAACUGGGGCUAAUACCGGAUAGGAGCUCCUGCUGCAUGGUGGGGGUUGGAAAGUUUCGGCGGUUGGGGAUGGACUCGCGGCUUAUCAGCUUGUUGGUGGGGUAGUGGCUUACCAAGGCUUUGACGGGUAGCCGGCCUGAGAGGGUGACCGGCCACAUUGGGACUGAGAUACGGCCCAGACUCCUACGUGAGGCAGCAGUGGGGAAUAUUGCACAAUGGGCGGAAGCCUGAUGCAGCAACGCCGCGUGCGGGAUGACGGCCUUCGGGUUGUAAACCGCUUUCGCCUGUGACGAAGCGUGAGUGACGGUAAUGGGUAAAGAAGCACCGGCUAACUACGUG
rnacentral:rRNA from 1 species